CUGAGCGAGCGCGCGAUCAGAGCGAGAGAUUAGAGCGAGAUGUUUCGAUUUUGAGAAACGACCUUGAGGCUAGUGAGAUCGUAUUCUCGAAAUCAUCUCGAAAUCAUACCAAUUUUAGCUGUUUGUGGGCUGAGUUUGUUCCUUAAAAUGAGUACUUAAGAUCAUCACUGUUAGUUUGAUUCCUGUUGUACUAUUGAGGGUUUGCAUCCAAUUACUAUCAGAAGGGAGUUUCGAUAUUUAGUUGAUGUUGAUGCGUAAUUAUUGGAAUAUUCAAGAUCAGGGUACUUUUUCCAAUACAGGGGAACUACCAAAGGAAGAAUCUAACAGUGUGUUCUCUGAAGACGAAAUGGUUUAUAAAGAGCCAUCCAUAUAUGAUAAAUUGUUAAUGACGCUAGGGUCAUCUAGUAAAUCUGUUGCUGCUGCAUAUAAACAAAGGAGUUGAUGAUGAAUUUCCUAUGAAAGGAAAACCCACCUGAAAUAGCUGGUAUUGAGGAACAGAGUGAAGAUACUGAAACUGAGGAUGAUCUGGAGACUCUGACUUGAAUGACCAGGAGAGCUAUGACUCGGGUGUACAUGACCUGAGAACCAGUCGUCCAUGUGCUGUUGAAGAACCUAGCCGCAUUGACUUGUUUCAGCUCACUCGAUUUAGCACAAAGAAAACAACAUGGGUUGGCGAAGAUGCCAAGAAUGCUUUUGAGCAGGUUCGGAACCCAAAACAUUUGAAGCCGGACAAUACAGCCAUGCAACAGUUGAGGAGGCUAAAAGGAGGGCAGAUGAGGCAACUAAAAGGGCUAAUGAUGCAGAGAAACAAUGUAUGCUUCUAGCAAAUGAGUUAUUUGAAAUGAAGGAGAAUUCCGAUGCACAAAAGUAUCAGUUAGGAGGUUUAUUGACAAGGCAGAAUGAGACAGAUGCACUAGUAAAAAGAUUGCUGGAGCAGUUAUCCUCGACUUCAUCAUCAAUGAGGUUUGAUGGAUAAAGGGCAGAAGACAAUCUACUAGUGAUGAAUCUUAUGUUAUUUGUUUUUGGGAAUCAUUUGACAUUUAGGUUGAACUUAAAUAUGUAGCAUUUUGUUUUUGAGACAUCUUCUGAAUUUGUUGGAAGAAUGUUAGAUAUAUGGAUACCUUUUGAAUCCAAUGAAUUAUUUAAUGCUAUAAAUUUUAUC